rnacentral:rRNA from 1 species
UACGUAGGGUGCGAGCGUUAAUCGGAAUUACUGGGCGUAAAGCGUGCGCAGGCGGUGAUGUAAGACCGAUGUGAAAUCCCCGGGCUUAACCUGGGAACUGCAUUUGUGACUGCAUAGCUAGAGUACGGUAGAGGGGGAUGGAAUUCCGCGUGUAGCAGUGAAAUGCGUAGAUAUGCGGAGGAACACCGAUGGCGAAGGCAAUCCCCUGGACCUGUACUGACGCUCAUGCACGAAAGCGUGGGGAGCAAACAGG